GCCAGGAUGGCGGAGAGGCAACGCGGCCGCCUGCAGAGCGGCUAUAUCCCGGUUCGAUUCCGGGUCCUGGCU
rnacentral:tRNA from 1 species